rnacentral:rRNA from 1 species
GAUGAACGCUGGCGGCGUGCCUAAUACAUGCAAGUCGAGCGAACGGACGAGAAGCUUGCUUCUCUGAUGUUAGCGGCGGACGGGUGAGUAACACGUGGAUAACCUACCUAUAAGACUGGGAUAACUUCGGGAAACCGGAGCUAAUACCGGAUAAUAUUUUGAACCGCAUGGUUCAAAAGUGAAAGACGGUCUUGCUGUCACUUAUAGAUGGAUCCGCGCUGCAUUAGCUAGUUGGUAAGGUAACGGCUUACCAAGGCAACGAUGCAUAGCCGACCUGAGAGGGUGAUCGGCCACACUGGAACUGAGACACGGUCCAGACUCCUACGGGAGGCAGCAGUAGGGAAUCUUCCGCAAUGGGCGAAAGCCUGACGGAGCAACGCCGCGUGAGUGAUGAAGGUCUUCGGAUCGUAAAACUCUGUUAUUAGGGAAGAACAUAUGUGUAAGUAACUGUGCACAUCUUGACGGUACCUAAUCAGAAAGCCACGGCUAACUACGUGCCAGCAGCCGCGGUAAUACGUAGGUGGCAAGCGUUAUCCGGAAUUAUUGGGCGUAAAGCGCGCGUAGGCGGUUUUUUAAGUCUGAUGUGAAAGCCCACGGCUCAACCGUGGAGGGUCAUUGGAAACUGGAAAACUUGAGUGCAGAAGAGGAAAGUGGAAUUCCAUGUGUAGCGGUGAAAUGCGCAGAGAUAUGGAGGAACACCAGUGGCGAAGGCGACUUUCUGGUCUGUAACUGACGCUGAUGUGCGAAAGCGUGGGGAUCAAACAGGAUUAGAUACCCUGGUAGUCCACGCCGUAAACGAUGAGUGCUAAGUGUUAGGGGGUUUCCGCCCCUUAGUGCUGCAGCUAACGCAUUAAGCACUCCGCCUGGGGAGUGCGACCGCAAGGUUGAAACUCAAAGGAAUUGACGGGGACCCGCACAAGCGGUGGAGCAUGUGGUUUAAUUCGAAGCAACGCGAAGAACCUUACCAAAUCUUGACAUCCUUUGACAACUCUAGAGAUAGAGCCUUCCCCUUCGGGGGACAAAGUGACAGGUGGUGCAUGGUUGUCGUCAGCUCGUGUCGUGAGAUGUUGGGUUAAGUCCCGCAACGAGCGCAACCCUUAAGCUUAGUUGCCAUCAUUAAGUUGGGCACUCUAAGUUGACUGCCGGUGACAAACCGGAGGAAGGUGGGGAUGACGUCAAAUCAUCAUGCCCCUUAUGAUUUGGGCUACACACGUGCUACAAUGGACAAUACAAAGGGCAGCGAAACCGCGAGGUCAAGCAAAUCCCAUAAAGUUGUUCUCAGUUCGGAUUGUAGUCUGCAACUCGACUACAUGAAGCUGGAAUCGCUAGUAAUCGUAGAUCAGCAUGCUACGGUGAAUACGUUCCCGGGUCU